UGCGUUUUAAUUUUUAACUCUAAUUAUUGUAGUAUUUUUUCUUUUGUUUCUAUUUUUUAUUUUAAUUUUUUGUAAAAUGUUUUAGUUUAUUUUUGUUUUGAGGAAAUACUUAAAAUUUGUUUUAUUGAACUGGAUUAGUACCCAGGUAAUCAAAAUUAAUUAAUUCGGGAGUAAAGUUUUGUUUAAACCGAAAAAAUAUUGACUGACUUUAGAUUUCUUUUUGGAACAUGUGUAUGGAGAGCCCUCCUUUUAAGUAAAUUUUUUUUUGCUCAUGUAUGAUUGUUUAGUUUUUAUGUUAUUUUGUAAUGCUUUUUUUUUUAAUUUAAAACAGAUAAAUACUUGGCUAAUGGGUUUAUGAUCAUGUGUUACUAUUAAUAAUUUUUUUUGGAUAGUUUUUUAUUUUUUAUUUGAAAUUGGAAAAAAAAGUAAUUAUUUUUUUAUGUAUUAGUGAAUUUAAUAAAUAAAGU
rnacentral:rRNA from 1 species